rnacentral:rRNA from 1 species
CCUACGGGGAGCAGCAGUGAGGAAUAUUGGUCAAUGGGCGGGAGCCUGAACCAGCCAAGCCGCGUGAGGGAAGAAGGUACAGCGUAUCGUAAACCUCUUUUGUCAGGGAACAAAGGCGGGGACUAGUCCCCGGAUGAGGGUACCUGAAGAAAAAGCAUCGGCUAACUCCGUGCCAGCAGCCGCGGUAAUACGGGGGAUGCGAGCGUUAUCCGGAUUUAUUGGGUUUAAAGGGUGCGCAGGCGGCCUGUUAAGUCAGCGGGAAAAGCCCGGGGCUCAACCCCGGCGAGCCGUUGAAACUGGCGGGCUGGAGUUGGAGAGAAGUACGCGGAAUGCGCGGUGUAGCGGUGAAAUGCUUAGAUAUCGCGCAGAACCCCGAUUGCGAAGGCAGCGUACCGGCUCCACACUGACGCUGAGGCACGAAAGCGUGGGUAUCGAACAGGAUUAGAUACCCCUGUAGUC